GUAUUUUCGAGCCAAAAGUGCGAAGCGCCUACGCGAGGAAAUCAGCCCACCGGACUGAUUUCUGAUCCCGCUUCGAUGCGCUGGAUGAUGCUUUAUUCAACCG
rnacentral:misc_RNA from 1 species